AGGAUACGGUGGUGCCUAUGGUGGCGGUGGCAGCGGCGGCGGCGGCUAUGGUGGUGGUCAGAGUACGAGUUCUUGGGACUGAACUGAACUCUGAUUAGAAGUGAAAAAUGGGCCAACCUUUUGGGCGUGAAAAAUGGGUCAACCGUUAUCGAUUAGUCCCUGUUGGAUGGAGCGAAUGCUUGAAAUUUGUUGCUUGACAUACGAUUAAUCUUGCGUUGUGUUGUGCUAAGGGAUUGGCUUAUGUUAUUAUCUGGAUUGGUG
rnacentral:lncRNA from 1 species